GACGAACGCUGGCGGCGUGCUUAACACAUGCAAGUCGAACGGAAAGGCCCUGCUUUUGUGGGGUGCUCGAGUGGCGAACGGGUGAGUAACACGUGAGUAACCUGCCCUUGACUUUGGGAUAACUUCAGGAAACUGGGGCUAAUACCGGAUAGGAGCUCCUGCUGCAUGGUGGGGAUUGGAAAGUUUCGGCGGUUGGGGAUGGACUCGCGGCUUAUCAGCUUGUUGGUGGGGUAGUGGCUUACCAAGGCUUUGACGGGUAGCCGGCCUGAGAGGGUGACCGGCCACAUUGGGACUGAGAUACGGCCCAGACUCCUACGGGAGGCAGCAGUGGGGAAUAUUACACAAUGGGCGGAAGCCUGAUGCAGCAACGCCGCGUGCGGGAUGACGGCCUUCGGGUUGUAAACCGCUUUCGCCUGUGACGAAGCGUGAGUGACGGUAAUGGGUAAAGAAGCACCGGCUAACUACGUG
rnacentral:rRNA from 1 species